UGAUAGAUUACGAUUUGCAAACUUGAUGGCAUAGUAAAUCCUCGUUCUUAGAAAGAGUUUGAGGAGAUAAUCAAUUGAAAAAUGCGAGCACUGUUCAAAUGGGAUUGGAGCUUUUUGUAGCUGCUGAAGAAUCUUUUUCAAAAUACCUACACUUUUUGUAUAAGUGAAGAAUUCUGUGACAAAUAUGUCUUCAAUUUUGGUGAUAUAUUCAUAAAUGAUACUUUUGGUGCAAGGAGACCGCCAAAGCUCUUGUCUGACUCAUAUGCCUUGAAGUAGCAAAGCAGAUUUCUGCUAUCAUCAAGUUGGUCUGUGACCAUAACUGACUCACAUAUGGAACACUUGUGCUUUUCAAAAUAUUUCUGGAAUGGAGAAAUCAAAAUAGGAAUGCUUGAGUCAGCUUUGCAGAAUUGUGCCAGUAAGUCAUCAAAGUCAUCAUCACAGUUGCCUUGUGAUGAAUUUAAGAAUGAACUAAAAAACAGCUUCCUGAAAGCACGGGUGAACUGGAUGGAGGUCGGAUUGUCGCUGUUGCCACCCUGCUGACGAAUUGCUCCAGAAAAGUUCUCUAUUGGAAAUCCACAAUAUCCUGCCACUUGGCUGUGAACUGGCUGAACUUGAAAGUGUAUUUCAUCAAAUUAUUUCUAACACAUUUGAUCAGAUGUGGUGGAUCAAACAUAAAAUAAAUCUUUCUUUGAUUGUGCAUAAACCAAGGACUCUCUGGACUGAUGUUCAGGACAUCCUCCAUUUACCAAUACAUAAUCAAGUGGUUGCUUCCAUUUUCCCGAAAUGCUUCUGAGCAAGAGGACAAGUGCUGAAUUUGCCAGUUUAUUCGUUCUUGUGCCACUUCCAUAAUCUUCAUAGCCAAUUAUUUUGUCAUUGGCUAUAUCAUAGAAUAAGUUGGUUUUGAGAGAUAUCUCGUCCAUACACAAAUUACAUAAUUUCUCAUUUUCUCUCAUAUUGUCCACUUUUUUCUUUAUGAUAUUUAGUGCUCCCUGACAUAUUCCAGUUGCAGCUGGCAUCUUAGAGAUGUAUCUGCGCAAUGAUGUUUUGGAAGGAAGAAUGAAUAAUUUCGAGAGCAACGAUAGGCUCUUCCACUAGCAUGAUACAAGGACACAGCAAUGGACUUCAUCUGUGAAAAAUACCGUGAAAAAUCCUCCAUUUCUUGAAGAUAAACUCAGUUGAAACAGGAAGUUUUAAGAUAUGCAUAUCUCGAUAAGAAUUGGUUGCUUUGUCUAGUCUAGGAAGCGAUUAAGUAAAGAACAAAUAAGACUGGAUAAACAAAACUUAAAUUAUAACUUAGAAGUAAAAA